rnacentral:rRNA from 1 species
UACGUAGGGUGCGAGCGUUAAUCGGAAUUACUGGGCGUAAAGCGUGCGUAGGCGGUUCGCUGUGUCCGAUGUGAAAGCCCCGGGCUUAACCCUGGGAAUGGCAUUGGAAACUGGCGGGCUUGAGUGCGGCAGAGGGGGGUGGAAUUCCGCGUGUAGCAGUGAAAUGCGUAGAGAUGCGGAGGAACACCGAUGGCGAAGGCAGCCCCCUGGGUCGACACUGACGCUCAGGCACGAAAGCGUGGGGAGCAAACAGG